UGGGUUGUUCCUUCAUACUCUUCUUUUCAUACUUAAUUCAUUCAAUUUCAGUAGCUGGCUUUCCAUCAAUGACAUUGACUUUCUUGUUGAAGUUGGAUGUUGUGUUUCUUGAAUUAUGAUAAGAAAAGGGAGAAUUACACGACUUAUAAUUUGUGGCAUUGGGCAAAUCACCUUGUUGAAACUUCAAAGUCAUUGUAACAUUAGAGGCAGC
rnacentral:lncRNA from 1 species